rnacentral:rRNA from 1 species
UACGAAGGGUGCUAGCGUUGUUCGGAAUUACUGGGCGUAAAGCGCGCGUAGACGGGCUUUUAAGUCGGAUGUGAAAUCCCGGGGCUUAACCUCGGCAUUGCAUCCGAAACUAAUGGUCUUGAAUACUUGAGAGGAUGGCGGAAUUCCCGGUGUAGGAGUGGAAUCCGUAGAUAUCGGGAGGAACACCUGAGGCGAAGGCGGCCAUCUGGCGAUGUAUUGACGUUCUGGCGCGAAAGCGUGGGGAGCAAACAGG